rnacentral:misc_RNA from 1 species
GAAAUGCGAUAAGUAGUGUGAAUUGCAGAAUUCAGUGAAUCAUCGAAUCUUUGAACGCACAUUGCGCCCCUCGGUAUUCCGUGGGGCAUGCCUGUUCGAGCGUCAUCUACACCCUCAAGCUCUGCUUGGUGUUUGGCGUCUGUCCCGCCUCCUUCGCGCGCGGACUCGCCCCAAAUCCAUUGGCGGCGGCCCUUGCCUCCCUCUCGCGCAGCACAUUGCGCUUCUCGAGGCGCGGCGGACCGCGUCCAGCAAGCAACCGUCACACCGUCUUUGACCUCGGAUCAGGUAGGGAUACCCGCUGAACUUAAGC